UACGUAGGGUGCAAGCGUUAAUCGGAAUUACUGGGCGUAAAGCGUGCGCAGGCGGUUCGUUGUGUCGGCGGUGAAAGCCCCGGGCUCAACCUGGGAAUGGCCGUUGAAACUGGCGAACUGGAGUGUGGCAGAGGGGGGGUGGAAUUCCGCGUGUAGCAGUGAAAUGCGUAGAGAUGCGGAGGAACACCGAUGGCGAAGGCAGCCCCCUGGGCUGACACUGACGCUCAGGCACGAAAGCGUGGGGAGCAAACAGG
rnacentral:rRNA from 1 species